UUAAGUGUGCUUUGCUUUAAAACACAUAGCACUUAUUCUUUUAAUUCAUCCACAAACACAUGUGUCACAGUUAACCUGGUCCUAGGUGCAUAGGUACAGUGAGGCACAUUCUCUCCAGGGUCAGGCUUGGAGGUAGGUAGGGAGGACAGAGAGCAGGAAGGAAAGGUUGGCUCCACUGGGGCCUUCAGCCCUCAUCCUCCACGAAAGAGAGAAAUGGAUGUUCUUUGAGGGCAGCAAGCUCCCUUCAGCAUGCAGGGAAGAAUCAGCUGGACAACAUGACUUUGAGUUGAGAACUAAGUGAACUUUGAUACACUGAACCCCAGAAUUAGACACUACUACUUAGGCCUACUCGCUCAGGUCCAAGCUUCAGUGGACCAUCCCAGACACCCCCAAGGAGCUUCACCAGAAACUUAACAGCAUGGAGGAGGAAGGGAAGAAAAGAAGAGACCUGCUGUAGGCAGUUCACCGCCAAGAAGAGAAAGGCAAGAGGGUGUUCCUAUCUGGUGCACUAAAGUCACCAAUCAGGGUGGCACCUGGAAACAACCCAAAACAAAGACUCCAUCCUACUGAAGUAGGUGAUUCUCAGCUCCACCUUGGGGAUAUAACUCAGCCUCUCUUCUGGGGCUUCCCAGAUUUGUGGGAUGCUCCCCAUACCCAUCCCGACUGCCUCAGAGGUGGGGAAAGACCCAAAGUAGCUGUAUCAAUCCCAAUGACACCCAGCAAUCAACUACUGCAAAGCAGCAAUCAUGUCCUGUGGGAUGGUUUGGAGGUGGCCUCAUCCAAAGGCAUCUUGGCUUUUGUUUCAUAGUUGCCAUCAGCUUUCAGAACCUUCUCCAUAUCUGCUGCAGUCAUGACAAACUGAACUCACGUAAUUUGAAAGACGUUGUUGUUCCUGUGUAGACUCACUGAACCAAAAUGUGGCCAAAUUAGGUGACCACAGUUUUCAAGAGUUGCCUGCAGCCUCAUGUUCAACUACUCUGCUCAUGUAUUUUGUAUGAUCAACCACAACUUAUUCCCUGAACUUUGAGGAUGUGCUCAAAACAAAACAAACAACACUGCUUUGUCUCUGGUUGCUUUGUAAAUGGUUUUGCCUGCUUCUGCUUCUCAGAAUUUAAUCAGCAAGAGACAUCUACCUCUCACACAGACCUACCAGCAGAUCACCUUUUUGACCAGACUCAAUCUUUUUAUUUCCAAGCUGACUAGGAACCAUUAUGUUCUGAAUUGGCCUAAAAGUACAGGGAAAAGUUCCUGUACCUUCUCUACCAAGAAAGGGAAUAAUACAUGCUUUUCCUUAGUCCAGAUCAUGGUUGUGUGAAUUAGUCAUCAUUAAUCAUAUUUCCUGCAUCAGCAUCAUUAAGAAAUUGCUAUUAAAGUUGCCACGCAAUACAAGACACUAAGCUGGCAUCGAAGAAAAUGUAAAGAACCAACACAAUCCCUGCUUUCCAUGAGCAUAUAGCCUGCUGGAGAUAAGACAUGAUCAACUGAAAUAAGAACUUCUAUGAAAUCACUACAUUAUGUAUCGCUAUCAAACAGUAAAUACGAAGGCGGGUAAGGGGAAGAAGUGCCAAUGUCUUUCUUUCAGUUAAAUGAGGCUUUCUGGAGGUGUUGGGUCUUGACAUGAGCAUUGAAAGACACACACAGAAAGACAGAGACAUAGAGGGAGAAGCAGGUUCCAUGUCUCUGCCUG